UACAGAGGUCCCAAGCGUUGUCCGGAAUUAUUGGGCGUAAAGGGCUCGUAGGCGGUUUGUCACGUCGGGAGUGAAAACUCGGGGCUUAACCCCGAGCCUGCUUCCGAUACGGGCAGACUAGAGGUAUGCAGGGGGAGAACGGAAUUCCUGGUGUAGCGGUGAAAUGCGCAGAUAUCAGGAGGAACACCGGUGGCGAAGGCGGUUCUCUGGGCAUUACCUGACGCUGAGGAGCGAAAGUGUGGGGAGCGAACAGG
rnacentral:rRNA from 1 species